ACCUCCGAGGAUGAACAAAAAUAUACUUUCGUUCUUCUGAUUAUAUUCUGUGUGGAAAAAUAUUGGAGACCUAAACUGAAGAGGC
rfam:Lupinus angustifolius cultivar Tanjil chromosome LG07, whole genome shotgun sequence.